CCCAGACUCCUACGGGAGGCAGCAGUGGGGGAUAUUGCACAAUGGGGGGAACCCUGAUGCAGCGACGCCGCGUGGGUGAAGGAGCGUUUCGGCGCGUAAAGCCCUCUCGGCAGGGAAGAAGGAGGACGGUACCUGACUAAGAAGCCCCGGCUAACUACGUGCCAGCAGCCGCGGUAAUGCGUAGGGGGCAAGCGUUAUCCGGAUUUACUGGGUGUAAAGGGGGCGCAGACGGCAGCGCAAGCCAGGAGUGAAAGCCCGGGGCCCAACCCCGGGAGUGCAUUUGAAACUGUCCAGCUGGAGUGCAGGAGGGGCAGGCGGAAUUCCUGGUGUAGCGGUGAAAUGCGUAGAUAUCAGGAGGAACACCGGUGGCGAAGGCGGCCUGCUGGACUGCGACUGACGUUGAGGCCCGAAAGCGUGGGGAGCAAACAGGAUUAGAUACCCCUGUA
rnacentral:rRNA from 1 species